CAGUCGCCGCGGUAAUACGUAGGUGGCAAGCGUUGUCCGGAAUUAUUGGGCGUAAAGGGCUCGCAAGCGGUUUCUUAGGUCUGAUGUGAAAGCCCCCGGCUCAACCGGGGAGGGUCAUUGGAAACUGGGAAACUUGAGUGCAGAAGAGGAGAGUGGAAUUCCACGUGUAGCGGUGAAAUGCGUAGAGAUGUGGAGGAACACCAGUGGCGAAGGCGACUCUCUGGUCUGUAACUGACGCUGAGGAGCGAAAGCGUGGGGAGCGAACAGGAUUAGAUACCCCAGUAGUCCCUGUCUCUUAUAC
rnacentral:rRNA from 1 species